CAGCAGCCGCGGGAAUACGUAGGGUGCGAGCGCUAAUCGGAAUUACUGGGCGUAAAGCGUGCGCAGGCGGUUGUGUAAGACAGGUGUGAAAUCCCCGGGCUUAACCUGGGAACUGCGCUUGUGACUGCACAGCUAGAGUAUGGCAGAGGGGGGUGGAAUUCCACGUGUAGCAGUGAAAUGCGUAGAGAUGUGGAGGAACACCGAUGGCGAAGGCAGCCCCCUGGGCCAAUACUGACGCCCAUGCACGAAAGCGUGGGGAGCAAACAGGAUUAGAUACCCGUGUAGUCCCUGUCUCUUAUAC
rnacentral:rRNA from 1 species